UGGGGAAUUUUGGACAAUGGGCGCAAGCCUGAUCCAGCAAUGCCGCGUGCAGGAUGUAGGCCUUCGGGUUGUAAACUGCUUUUGUACGGAGCGAAAAGGUCUGCCCUAAUACGGUGGGCUCAUGACGGUACCUGAAGAAUAAGCACCGGCUAACUACGUGCCAGCAGCCGCGGUAAUACGUAGGGUGCAAGCGUUAAUCGGAAUUACUGGGCGUAAAGCGUGCGCAGGCGGUUAUGCAAGACAGAGGUGAAAUCCCCGGGCUCAACCUGGGAACUGCCUUUGUGGCUGCAUAGCUAGAGUACGGCAGAGGGGGGUGGAAUUCCACGUGUAGCAGUGAAAUGCGUAGAGAUGUGGAGGAACACCGAUGGCGAAGGCAGCCCCCUGGGCCGAUACUGACGCUCAUGCACGAAAGCGUGGGUAGCAAACA
rnacentral:rRNA from 1 species